AAUUCAACAUCUCCGCCAUACAUGUUUCUAUCCCAAUCAUAUUGCUGAUCUUUGAAGCUUGGAGCCGGUAUGUUGGACUAGACGAAUUAAGUGCCAUAUGAUUGUGAUAGAAGCAUAUAUGGCGAAGAUCUUAAAUUGA